CUCAAUCCAAAUAUCCUACAAAGCGUCUAAAUCUUACGUAGACCACAAAGAAAUCAAUCCCCAAACAAUCAAUAUUUUCAAACAAGGUUGGAAACUAAUCUAAUUCAUGCUCACACACACUCACAAGAGAGUAAUUAUUCAUUAGCAUUAAAGUUAAUCUACAAAUGAAAGGGAAACUCCUAUUUAUAGCCUAGGGCUAAUUAUUACAAUAUUGGGCUCAAAAGUUAUCCAUUUCUGAAAAUUGGGCAUAUGCCCAUGCACCCAAAUGGCCUGCUCAUGCAUGUGACACUAGAGUGACAUGCUAAGGUCACAUACGACCGCAUGUUCUCUCCUGCAUCCACAUGUGGUAAUGCAUUUCCCUUAAGUUCUUCUCCAAACUCGUCGAUGCUUCUUUUUUUCUUUGCCAAGGCCCUUUACCUUCUUGGAUGUAAUCACCAUCCUUUGGCACCCUUUUAAUAACAUUGAGUGGUCUUCAAACAUCUCUCUCUUCAUGUUCAUCCUAUCAGGGUGUCCAGAAGCAUUUUGGAUUGUUUCAAUAAUGGUAUGGCGAAAGAAAAAUCGAAUAUGAUAUGGUGAUGAUAAGGAGAAAAUUAAUGAUGGUUAUGAUGGUCGAACAUAAUUUUUUUAGUGAAAUGAGAUAUGGAGUGGAUGUAGUUAGCAAUGAAAAAGAUUUAUUAAUAAAGUUU
rnacentral:lncRNA from 1 species